CCGUUGUAUUCGUGUCCUCAUCUUUUUAGAAAUCUUGUGUCCGUGUCAGUGCAUCAUACACAACAUGCUACAGACCUGUGCUUAAUUAUGGUUAUCAACCUUUUUAAAAAAUGAUUUCUUCCAAUUAAAUUGAAGUGAGAUUUGAAAUUUCUGUUCCUUUGAAACCGAAGAUAAUUAAUGACAGUUUAUUAUGUCUAUCAAGUUCUUUGGAGGGGGAUUUGAAAAUUUGAUUUCUCUCCAAGAUCAAUGUAGUUACAAUUUAACAUUACAGUCUUGAGGCAAAAAUUUAUGGUAGAGUCGAGGAUGCAUUGCAUCAAACUAAUCUUCUCUUCACUAAUGUUAAAUCAUUUCCAAACAGGCAUCAUUGUAUGGGAAAAUUUCACCUAUUAGCAACUACAAUAUUUCGAUUCUUGAUCCAAGUAUAACAUUUGAUCCACGAGUCCUUCCCAGCAAUCCCUUGUACUGUAGAACUCUACUUUUAACAACCUUGUCCAUGCUUCCAGAUUGGAUUCUAAUUCAGUUUCUUUGGUAAGAAGGAAUGGUUUCUAGUUUGGUUCAAAUGCUCUACCAAGCAAUAGGAGACUCUAUCCAUCUCCAAGAUGCUGGUUGCAGACUUUCAAGAGGCCUCUAUCUUGUGGUCCUACAGCGGAAGUCUGCAUGCUGGAAUAUAUUUUGUUUCGAAUUAACUGGUUGUUAUGUUUUGUUUCAUUAAUAAAACGAAAGUCUGAACUAUAGCGGAGAAUUACGACAUGAAAAUUCGCAAGAUUACAAUACAAUCGAAUAGGAUAAUGAUUGUACCUUUUCUCAUUUUGCAGUAGUAAGUGAUCGACUUGGCAACCGCAAGAAUGCAAAUAAGUCAGAGGAAAAUGCACUAUCUGCCCAGAGUGUGAGUACUGCAGUCUCGUCUCCAAAGGUAUAGGAACAAAUUGCGAGGCUUCAGUCACUUGACAGAAGGAUGGAUCGAAUGGAAAUGGAAGCUAAUUCUCUUCAGAAAAGGAUAAUAAUUAUUCGUGCAGAAGGAUUUGGCUUGAUAAAAGGGCAAAUGAAGCAGUUAGCACUUAUGGAACUAAUGUUUUCACGGCCUCGGCUCCAUCUUUCUCCAAUUAAAUUAUCCCUACUUUGGGACAUCGGUCUCAGUUUUGAUGGUAGUUUCGUUCUUCUCUACAUUCGUCGUUGCUUAUAUAGUGAGUUCCAAUAAUAUCAAGAAGAUAUCUGAAAAGGAGAAGGAUCUUCGGAGGAGGCAGAGAGAGUUCCAGAGUGAUAUCGCAUUUUUUGGAGCUCAAAUUACGAGGGCCUAUUCGGAUGAAGAACUUAAUACCUUAGCUAGCAUUGGGGCACUUGGAGAAGUUUUGAAUGGGGAACGGUUCACUUACUAGGAUGCUCAUGCCUUGCAGAGUACCAUAGCUAGUCUUCUUGAGAUGUCAUCUAACUCAGAAAGCAAUCGUAUGAAGUCGCUUUUCCAGGUUAAAGUUUGCGCAAUCAUGUAUGGGCUAAGUUUUCCCAUGAUGGCAUACUACUUACUGCAUUUUAUCGACUUCAGGAGAAAGAGAUUCGCCUACUAAAUGGACAAGAACAGGAAGUGUCUGUCUCUCUGAGAUGGUUAUGCCUUUGUCCAAGUGCUAUUUCCAAUCUACUGCAUUGCUUUGGAUGGUGAUGCUCGUAGGUCCUUUUUUGCGACUAUUAUUAGUUUGGGUUUUGUUGGUUUUAUGCAUUGUGUAUAAGCUUGGAAUUUGAAUCAAUCCAUGCCAUAUUUUAUCGUGUAGAUAAUGGUCUUUUUGCCGGGUCUGAGUAAUAUAAAGUGAAAGCAAAUGUGUCAUGGAAUUGGCCAUUUCUCAGAGCCAUACAGACGAAGAAAUGUAAGACAAAAAGAAGGAAAGGGACUCAUCAAAUCCAUUGGUUGCAUGCUCAGCUCCAGCGAAGAGGCGCCAUUGCUCUAUAGGCAAAACAAUGUCGAUUAUCGUUACGCUGAGUUAACACUUACUCUUUAUCCAGUGCUGGAUAUUGUUUCUCUUUCUUCUACUUCUUCUUCUUCUUCUUCUCCUUCUCCUUCUUCUUCUUCUCCUCCUCCUCCUCCUUCUUCUUCUUAUUCUUCUCCUCCUCCUCCUCCUUCUUCUCCUUCUCCUUCUUCUUCUUCUUCUCCUCCUCCUCCUUCUUCUUCUUCUUCUUCUUCUUCUUCUCCU